UACGUAGGGUGCAAGCGUUGUCCGGAAUUAUUGGGCGUAAAGAGCUCGUAGGCGGUCUGUCGCGUCGGCUAGGUGAAACCUCGGGGCUCAACUCCGAGCUGCAGGUCGAUACGGGCAGGCUAGAGUUCGGGCGGGGAGGACUGGAAUUCCUGGUGUAGGCGGGUAGAAAUGCGCAGAUAUCAGGAGGAACACCGGUGGCGAAGGCGGGCUCCUGGGCCGUAUACUGACGUGGAGGAGCGAAAGCGUGGGGAGCGAACAGG
rnacentral:rRNA from 1 species